rnacentral:misc_RNA from 1 species
AGCAAAGAAAGAUAAGAAGAAAAAGAAGCAUAAAGCUGAAAGCAAUGAUGUGCAAAAUGAGAGUGAAAAUGUUAAUGCAGGAGAAAAAAAGAAAAAAAGAAGCGAAAACAUGCUGAACAAGAUGAAGAACCUGAAAUGCCAGGGAAGAAGAAAGAGAAAAGGAAGAGAAAAAGUGAGGAUUGAGAAAAUAUGGAAAGUACAGGUUACAGGCUACCCAGCAAUUUUGGAGAAGAAAUUAGGCAACAACUCCAUACUUUUCUGCUGUAUAAUUUUCGUUCAUUUUUGGUUUGUUAGCUUUAUUUCCAAUGGAUUUGCUGAUUUCCUGUGGGGGUGAUAAUGGAAUGUUCUGUUGGAAGUGAGCAUAUUUUGAAAAUUAUGUUUAGAAUUCACUUGCAUAUUAAUCUGUACUGUAAUCAAUUCAAAAGAUAAAUAGAUACAUAAAUAAAAGUUGAGAUUUUUUGGCAUUUGGUAAUCUGAUUCUAAAGUUAAUUUAUAGAAUGAUUAUGUAUGCUGAGACGGGUAUAAUUUGUUUCAGUUAAAAAGAAAAAUGAAAAAAACUAAGAAAAGGCUUCUAAGGGAGCCUGAUUGAAAGAAGCAAAGAAAAAUUUAUGGAACUGAACCAUAUGCUCUUGUGAAAAAUAGAAGCUUGUAACAUAAAUUUCAUCUGUCAACAAAUUAAUAUAAAUCAGUGCCUGUGGUCAGGAAUGGACAUCUUCUCAUGUCAGUUCUUUUAUUUGCUAGGGUCUGUCCUGGCCAUGGUCAUGGAUUGAUUCCAAAUCUGAAUCAGCGGUGUUUGUUUAUGAAAAAAAUUGGAUUUCAG